rnacentral:rRNA from 1 species
CAAUAGCGUAUAUUAAAGUUGUUGCAGUUAAAAAGCUCGUAGUUGGAUUUCGGGACGGGCCAGUUGGUCCGCCGCAAGGUGUGUUACUGACUGGUCUGUUCUUCUUCGCAAAGACUGCGUGUGCUCUUCGUUGAGUGUGCGUAGGAUUUACGACGUUUACUUUGAAAAAAUUAGAGUGUUCAAAGCAGGCUAUCGCUUGAAUACAUGAGCAUGGAAUAAUGGAAUAGGACUUUGGUCCUAUUUUGCUGGUUUCUAGGACCGAAGUAAUGAUUAAGAGGGACAAUUGGGGGCAUCCGUAUUUCGUUGUCAGAGGUGAAAUUCUUGGAUUUACGAAAGACGAACAACUGCGAAAGCACUUGCCAAGAGUGUUUUCAUUAA